GGGAAGGCUCAGACAGCCAGGAUGUUGGCUUAGAAGCAGCCAUCAUUUAAAGAAAGCGUAAUAGCUCACUGGUCGAGUCGGCCUGCGCGGAAGAUGUAACGGGGCUAAGUAGUAAACCGAAGCUGCGGCAAUAUACUUUUGUAUAUUGGGUAGGGGAGCGUUCUGUAAGCGGUUGAAGGUGUGUGGUAACGCAUGCUGGACGUAUCAGAAGUGCGAAUGCUGACAUGAGUAACGAUAAAGGGGGUGAAAAACCUCCUCGCCGGAAGACCAAGGGUUCCUGUCCAACGUUAAUCGGGGCAGGGUAAGUCGACCCCUAAGGCGAGGCCGAAAGGCGUAGUCGAUGGGAAACGGGUUAAUAUUCCCGUACUUCUUACAAUUGCGAUGGGGGGACGGAGAAGGCUAGGUGGGCCUGGCGACGGUUGUCCAGGUUCAAGUGCGUAGGCUUAAGAGUUAGGUAAAUCCGGCUCUUUUUAAGGCUGAGACACGACGUCGAGCAUCUACGGAUGUGAAGUCAUUGAUGCCAUGCUUCCAGGAAAAGCCUCUAAGCUUCAGA
rnacentral:rRNA from 1 species